GGCGAACGCUGGCGGCGUGGAUUAGGCAUGCAAGUCGAACGGUAUCAUCCUUUCGGGGGUGAGAGAGUGGCGAACUGGUGAGUAACACGUAGGUUAUCUACCCUCAAGACGGGGACAACCCAGGGAAACUUGGGCUAAUACCGGAUGUGAGCAACUUUUAGUUGUUUGAAAGGUGGCGUAAGCUGUCGCUUGGGGAUGAGCCUGCGUCCUAUUAGUUAGUUGGUGAGGUAACGGCUCACCUAGGCAAUGAUAGGUAGGCGGCCUUAACGGGUGGUCGCCCACACUGGGAUUGAGAUACGGCCCAGACUCCUACGGGAGGCAGCAGUCGAGAAUAGUCUACAAUGGUCGGAAGACUGAUAGUGCGACGCCGCGUGAACGAUGAAUCCCUUCGGGGUUAAAGUUCUUUUAUAUGUGAGCAGUGCUUCUUAUAUUAACAGUAUGGGGAGAGAGAUAUUAGCAUAUGAAUAAGCAACGGCUAACUCCGUGCCAGCAGCCGCGGUAAAA
rnacentral:rRNA from 1 species